CGGCGUGGAUAAGACAUGCAAGUCGAACGCGACUUAUUUUGUUAGCAAUAACGAAGUAAGUUGAGUGGCGAAAGGGUGCGUAACACGUGGGAAUUUACCAAGAAGUGGGGAAUAGCUCGACGAAAGUCGAAUUAAUACCGCAUAUGAUCGAAAGAUCAAAGUCGGGGACCGCAAGGCCUGACGCUUUUUGAGAAGCCCGCGGCCCAUCAGAUAGUUGGCGAGGUAAAAGCUCACCAAGGCUAUGACGGGUAGAUGGUCUGAGAGGACGACCACCCACACUGGAACUGAGACACGGUCCAGACACCUACGGGUGGCAGCAGUCGAGAAUUUUUCACAAUGGACGAAAGUCUGAUGGAGAGACGCCGCGUGGAGGAUGAAGGUUUUCGGAUGUAAAAUCGUGUCACUGCAGAACAAGGGUGCGCAUGUUAAU
rnacentral:rRNA from 1 species